rnacentral:rRNA from 1 species
GUCUAUGGCCAUCCUACCCUGAACAAGCCCGAUCCCGUCUGAUCUUGGAAGCUCAGCAGGGUCGGGCCUGGUUAGUACUUGGAUGAGAGACCACCUAGGAAUACCAGGUGCUGUAGACG